rnacentral:rRNA from 1 species
UACAUAGGGGGCAAGCGUUAUCCGGAAUUAUUGGGUGUAAAGGGUGCGUAGACGGAGAAACAAGUUGGUUGUGAAAUCCCUCGGCUCAACCGAGGAACUGCAACCAAAACUAUUUCCCUUGAGUGUCGGAGAGGAAAGUGGAAUUCCUAGUGUAGCGGUGAAAUGCGUAGAUAUUAGGAGGAACACCAGUGGCGAAGGCGACUUUCUGGACGAUAACUGACGUUGAGGCACGAAAGUGUGGGGAGCAAACAGG